GCAGCCGCGGUAAUACGUAGGUGGCAAGCGUUAUCCGGAUUUACUGGGUGUAAAGGGUGUGUAGGCGGGACGGCAAGUCAGAUGUGAAAACUAUGGGCUCAACUCAUAGCCUGCAUUUGAAACUACUGUUCUUGAGGGUCGGAGAGGUAACUGGAAUUCCUAGUGUAGCGGUGAAAUGCGUAGAUAUUAGGAGGAACACCAGUGGCGAAGGCGGGUUACUGGACGAUACCUGACGCUGAGACACGAAAGUGUGGGGAGCAAACAGGAUUAGAUACCCC
rnacentral:rRNA from 1 species